UCGAGCCAAUUUUUGGGUAUCUAGCCUAGGGGCUGCCCAUCGAUAGGGACCAAUUAUACAAUUUACCGAAAUUGGUGAUAAUUGUCAUGGGAAGGUCAGGGAAAUUGGGAGAUUUCUGAUCCCCAAUUGUUACUGUCGACUGAAAAAUUUCGUGGCCAUUGGAAAAUGUGAUGAAUACACUAAUUCACUGAGGGACAUGGAUGCCAGGGGAUGCAGCUCACACCUCGAUAUAACUGUUCAACACUUGUUGCUCCAAUUACAGGAGUUGGUGUACUAGGACUCGACGUUGCCCUCCAUUUCAGAAAAAUAAAUUGUGCAAUUUGUCUGUUUUUUUUUCCGGGUAACUCAGUGACGAAGGGGUAAAAUGAGAUCGCUUUCUAUUGAUUAUUGACCAGUUGUUGAUGAACAUACCGGAAUCUAGGGAAGAGCAGAAUUUUGAUUAUAAAUUUUUGUAAAGAAAAUUAACUACAACAACGAGUGCCAAUUUUUCGGAGAAAUUAAUUGAUAAGAUACCGUAAUUUGACCGAUGCGAGAGAGAAAAAGGGGGUGAGACCAAAAUAAACUCAGUGGAAUUCUAAUGAACGAGUGAGAAAUGAAUCAGAACUUCAAUUUCGGUUUUCUAAUCAGAGCUUCGCGUACAAUCUCCUGCAAAAUCCUUCACAAGUUCGAAUUCCAGGAUCUGGAGAUAUGUAAUCACUUAGCGGUGGUAUAUAAGUCGUGUUUAUUUUAGUCAGGACUUUCAUUGGGGCCUGACGAUGGGAAAGGAGAUUAAUAAAACAGAUUUUCCGGCCGACGCUGUGCUCCGAAUUUCAUCAGACAUCGAGACUGAUCGGAGAAACUUGAAAGCAACUUUUUUCAAUGGAUUCAUGGGAUUAUGAAGUUCUAUCGGAAUCAACAUGAGUGGAAACUCCAGGGCGAAUGGUCUGUGCGUUAUCAGUUCGAUAACGCGUCAAACGACAGCGUCGAAUAGCGUCGUUUACCACACGUACAUCAGACGGGGGGAGAACCCCUGGCAGGGGCUCCAAAGCUAUGACCGAGAGAAUACGAAUAAGAGACCAAACUAACCUCCCCGUUGAGCUUCCCUCACCCCUGUACACGCUCCGUACUGCAUUCAAUAAAAUAACACGAAAAUUUCUCAAUCAUAAACUUCGAAGUUCGUUUUCACUUCAACAUGGUGGAUAACGAGUUUACCAAUCAAUUACUGGAAAAUAGGGUUUGAGCAAGCGUCAAUAGAGUAUGAAUGUCUGUACCACGCGCACGGAAGAGGGCUAGAGAGAACUAACCCCUCGGGGAAGGGGAGAAGAGGAGGAGAUGGAAGUAUUUUCCAGUUUUGACCGAUUUAUUCGCCAUGUUUUUCCCCGUGAUUAUCGGCGAUAUCGAGUGUUAUGAGGUGAUUUUAUUGUGAUUACUUACUCGAAUGAGAUGAUUGAUGAAGAACUGGAGUUUACUGGAUCAAUCCUCAGUCACAAAAAUACCGAAAAAACUGGGGGAACAGCAAUCACGUCGCAAUGGCGCACCGCUAAAUGCGUUGGAAAGCCUAUGGUCACGGUAAAGUCAUCUAGCGGCGACGCCAUGAACUGAGGAUUUUUCUGGUGGGGGAUUGGCGGAUGGCGACCAAUCAGGGGUGACGGGUGGUAUGAGCGGGAAAUGGGGCGCCACUUGACAGGUUGUUGAGUGUUUAAGAGGUUAUCUGGAUCUCUGGAGCAUCUGGAUACAGAUAAAUAGGACUGGAGGGUCGAAGGGAGUCAGGGCUAAUCCGCCGACAGGAGGUGCAAUAAAAUAUCUGAUUAUCUGGCUCGCUGUAGGGACCUGGGGCUCUUCAUCGGUUUGAAUUGUUAUUCAGAAUCUCAAAAUUGAUUUUUUUUGUUUAGAGGUUGAUAUAAGAUGGGGAUGGGAGUUGUGUAAAUAAUAAAGACUGAUUCGUUAUAUAUCUGAAGUAUAAAUUAUCGCAGUCAUUAAUGGGACUUCACGGAAGUCAUGUAGUUACAUAAAUAUUAUGUAUUGUCAAUAAAUGUGUGAAUCGA